GAGUCCUGGAUUGAAUGGCCUGCCUCUCUCCUCGAAAACCUGUGUGCAUUUCCAACUGAAGCUCGAUUUUGGAGAUGUCCCCUGCCCGGGUGCUGAAUGAGGGGGGAGGGUUUACAGUGGGAGGGAAUCAUUGAAAACCAUUCAGGUAUCAGAAUGUGUGCUCUGGAAGCUGAAAUCCUGUUCCCUCUAUUUCAGACUCAGCGGAGAAUGAGAGUGAGCCUGAUAUUAAAGGAUCGGAUGAGAUUGCAAAGUGGAACAGAAACAACCACAAUUCCAAUUCCGAUGAAAGCAGUGAAAGGAAAAUCAAAGUGAUUGCUUCAGGACGAGAUGAUGGUUUGUAGAUCUCUCUGUGUGGGACAUUAUUGACUGGGCUAAUAUAUGGGAGCUGGGUCCAUGAGGAUUAACAAGCUCUUUAUUGAAAUGAUUCAAAUACACGUGGAGGCAGGGGACAAGGAGCAGGAUGGAGAGCAAGCUGGUUACGAAGCACAGUGUGUGGCUUAAAGCACAUUACUCAGACUGGGAUGAGUGUGGGGAGUGGUGUUCAAUUGGGAUCAUUGCUUGGGAUCACUGUUGGUCACCAUUUACAGAAACAACUUGGACUGGGGAAUCUGAAAGACAAUUUCAAAACCUGUUGAUGACACAAAACU